rnacentral:rRNA from 1 species
CAAGUACAAAGAAGAAGCAAGACCGUGAGGUGGAGCAAAACUCAAAAACUUGUCUCAGUUCGGAUUGUAGGCUGAAACUCGCCUACAUGAAGCUGGAGUUGCUAGUAAUCGUAGGUCAGCAUACUACGGUGAAUACGUUCCCGGGCCUUGUACACACCGCCCGUCAAACCAUGAGAGUUGGCAACACCCGAAGUCGGUAGUCUAACCGCAAGGAGGACGCCGCCGAAGGUGGGGUUGAUGAUUAGGGUUAAGUCGUAACAAGGUAGC